rnacentral:rRNA from 1 species
AGAGUUUGAUCCUGGCUCAGAUUGAACGCUGGCGGCAUGGCUAAAGCAUGCAAGUCGAACGAGAACCCGCCUUCGGGCGGGGGACAGUGGCGAACGGGCGAGUAAUACACUCCUUAUGUACCCCGAGGUGGGGGAUAGGUCAGGGAAACCUGGCGUAAUACCUCAUGUGCUCUCCGGAGGAAAGGCUACGGCCGCCUUGGGAGCAGGGAGUGGCCUAUCAGGUUGUUGGUGAGGUAACGGCUCACCAAGCCGAAGACGGGUAGCGGGUGUGAGAGCAUGACCCGCCGCAUCGGGACUGAGACACUGCCCGGACUCCUACGGGAGGCUGCAGCGACGAAUCUUCCGCAAUGCACGAAAGUGUGACGGAGCAAUGCCGCGUGCGGGAUGAAGCGGCUUCGCCGUGUAAACCGCUGUCAGGGGCUAGAAAAACUGAUCAACCCCAAAGGAAGGGCCGGCUAACCUCGUGCCAGCAGCCGCGGUAAGACGAGGGGCCCGAGCGUUAAUCGGAAUCACUGGGCUUAAAGGGUGCGCAGGCGGAUGUGUAGGUGUCUUGUGAAAUGCCUCCGCUCAACGGAGGAACCGCAAGGCAAACCACAUGUCUUGAGGCAGGUAGGGGCCGUCGGAACGAUAGGUGGAGCGGUGAAAUGCGUAGAUAUCUAUCGGAACGCCUAUGGUGAAGACAGCCGGCUGGGCCUGUCCUGACGCUGA